rnacentral:lncRNA from 1 species
AGAAACACUCUUCUUUGUAAAUCUCUCUAUUGUAUUUCUUUCUGUGGUGUAUCUUACAAUUGAGAGAGCAUCCUAUUUAUAGGCUUUAGGAAGCUCUUCUAGAAAAGUCUUCAUUAUGGCCUUAAAACCCCACUAACAACACAAUUAAAAUCCCACUCACAACUUUUGACCUUUUACAUAUCCAAACUCCCAUUCUACUCUUUUCUAGUAACUUCUAACUUUAAAACCCACAAAUUACAUUAAAGUUUAUUCAACAAGAU